rnacentral:rRNA from 1 species
GAUGAACGCUAGCGACAGGCUUAACACAUGCAAGUCGAGGGGUAACAGGGUAGCAAUACCGCUGACGACCGGCGCACGGGUGAGUAACGCGUAUGCAACCCGCCUAUAACUGGGGAAUAGCUCCCUGAAAGGGGAAUUAACACCGCAUAACACUAUUGAUUCGCAUGGAUUGGUAGUUAAAUGUAGCGAUACAGGUUAUAGAUGGGCAUGCGUGACAUUAGCUAGUUGGUGAGGUAACGGCUCACCAAGGCUACGAUGUCUAGGGGUUCUGAGAGGAAGGUCCCCCACACUGGUACUGAGACACGGACCAGACUCCUACGGGAGGCAGCAGUGAGGAAUAUUGGUCAAUGGGCGCAAGCCUGAACCAGCCAUGUCGCGUGCAGGAAGACUGCCCUAUGGGUUGUAAACUGCUUUUAAUACAGGGAAUAAAGUUAGUCUACGUUAGUAGGUCUAUUUGCUAGGUACCUGUAUGAAUAGGACGAUAUCGUGCC